rnacentral:rRNA from 1 species
UACGUAGGCGGAAAAUUAAGUCAGUAGUGAAAUCCCGCAGCUUAACUGUGGAACUGUUAUUGAUACUGGUUUUCUUGAAUAUAGUUGAGGUAGGCGGAAUGUGUAAUGUAGCGGUGAAAUGCUUAGAUAUUACACAGAACACCGAUUGCGAAGGCAGCUUACUAAGCUAUGAUUGACACUGAGGCACGAAAGCGUGGGGAGCGAACAGGAUUAGAUACCCUGGUAGUCC